UCCCCGCUCCAGCCGGAGCAGGCGCAGCGGUCGCCGGCCUCCCUGCGGACUCUGACCCCGCGACGGCGCCGCGGCCGCUUUCGGCCCCCAGCCCCCUCCGCUGCCCUCCUCCGGGCCCUCUCCCGCAAAGGUUCCGAGAGUCGCCCGACGCUCCCGCCAGCGGAGCAGGAUCGGGAAGAAAAGCAUCUCCCUGUCCUGGGAUGGGCUCACCAGAUGUUCCCCAGAUGUUUGCUGAUGAUGAGAAACAUCUUCCUCUGGGAUCACAAACUCCCUAAUAUUGAACCACCUGCACUACUAGAAUGAACUUACUUGGAUACAAUGGAUGAUUCUUUGAAGGUCAUGAGCUGAUGAAGUCGAUUAAAAUGUACUUGUGUCUUAUCCAAAUUUGUUUGCAUUUGCUGUAUGUAUAUUGUUAUUCUCAACUCAUAUCCUAUUCUUGAUUUUGAAGCUGUGCUAUUUGGUGCCUAGAGAUUUCAAAAAACUAGAUUCUUAAUGUCUCUCAUGUUUAACUUCCUUUUCUCUAAAUUAGCAAUUUUGUUUUGAAUCUGACCUUGACUGAUGGUAACCGUUCCUCUGGAGGAAGAAAUGGCAACCCACUCCAGUAUUCUUGCCUGGGAAGUCCCAUGGACAGAGGAGUCAGGCAGGUUGCAGUCCAUGGGGUUGCAAAGAGUCAGACAUGACUGAGCAACUGAGCACAUAUGCAUGAUGGUCAUGCUGUAGUCUCAGCUCAGUAUUUUCUUGUAUACCUUGGUUUAUAUUUUAACUUUUCUGAGUUACUUUGGUAAAGAUGUAUCUCUUCUAUAUCACAUACUAUAGAACACUGUUUUAUGAUCUGAUGAGAGAAUCUUUUUAAGGAUGGGUUUAUCCUUAUUUACAUUUCUUGAUAUAACAUGUAUCAUGCUUACUUAUGUCAUCUUAUCUUCUGCUGUGUUUCCUAUUUUAAUGCUUCCUCUGUUUUCUAUGUUUUACAUGUGUAUUUUUUUUGUUUUCUUUGAUGUGUGUGUGUGUGUGUGUGUGUGUGUGUGUGAGCACACAUGUGUUUGUAUUUUGGUCUGAUGAUUUGAAGGUUUAUAGUCUGUUUUUAAUUUUUCCACUGCUUGUCUUUAUAUUGAUUUAUUUCUCUGCCAAGAGAAGAAAACCUUUAAAUGUAGGGAAAGAGUCAUAUUCUCAAAGGGCUGAGGCUUGCCACCAUAGUUCUGUCUUCGAAUUCUUGAUAUCCCCAGAAACAAACAAAAAACAAAACAAAAUUCUUAACAUUCUCAACAUGAAAAAUGGUGAUAAGUCUCGCCCUGAAACCAAAGGUUCAGGAUAAUCAAAAUCUGAAUGUGCCACUGAGAUGCUUCUUGAGUGAACCAGCCACCUACAGCAAAGAGCUAUCGGCGCCACAAAGGGAUGCUGUAUCUCAUCUCUUAUUUCAAAACCUCAUGUGAAUAUCUUACCCUCAACAGCCAGCAUACUUAGUUCAACAGUGUCUUUUACUUUCUGUCCAUGUCUCCGCAGUCUUCUGAAAAGGCAUAGUUGGAGAGGCAUGAAUGGAGGGCAUUGACUCUUCUUGCUAUUUGUUUCUGCACAUAUCGAGAUCAGGAGCCAGAUUGUUGCCUGACAGCUGGUCUUUGUGAAUAUAGUCGUGUGUGGUUGGUGUUCAGAUGCAAGUUGUGUGUGUGUUUUCUUUUAAAUCUCAUCAGUUAGCGUACCAAGAGAUAAUGGCACACUCAAAACAGUAUCAUUUUAGGGAAGCUUAUUUACAAAGGGACUACUUACAAGCAUGUGGGUGUAGGAGCACCCCAAGGGAUGGUGCAGUAACCUGGAUGAGCAGCAGCAGAGCUGUUACUACCAGUAAGUCUGAAGGUGGGCUCCAGGGGGUUACUAUAAGGGAGAGAACUGGGUAGGCUGGCUGCCGUGGGAAGACCAGUGGCCCCCCACUAGAGGAUACAUCCAACCCACAGAGACUCACAGGCAGGAAACCAAAGGACUAAAUGCCUUGAUCUCUUUCUCUUCCCUCUCCUUUCUCUGCUGGGCCUCACCGUGGCUGAACCCAACUGGAAGCCAGAAGCUUAGUCAUUUAAUCUUGCAAAGGAAUUCAGUGAGAAAUAGAACAAAAAGUCAGCAGGUACAUUUCCCUCCUGUGUUUUUGGAAGAUAUCUGGCCAGCCUGACACAUUAGUAGUGCACCCAAUAGGAAUGCUUUCAAUGAUCAAUAAUCCACUACCAUUUACUUGUGUACUGUAAUGGGAAGGUUGGAAGGUGGUAGCCACUGACAUAAUGUCAGUACUGGUGUCUCUAGAAUUCUCUCAGCUUUUACCUUAAGCUGGUUGCUUCAUAUUUGCAAGGCAGCUGCCCAAGCAUCAUGACCAUGGUUAAGUUAGGAAGAAAGGGGGAGGCGGGGGAUACCAGCAUGUUUAUCCAUUUUCUGAAAAAACAAAACCAAAACUUUUAAUAGAAAUACCCUCAGUAGACUUGUCAUCAUAUUUCAUUGACUAGAACCGGAUCUCAUGUAACAGCAAGGGAGAUUGGGAGAGUGGAAAAUGGGCUGGUCAUGGUUGAUUUAGACCACUUGUAAUUAAUUGCCUGAGAUUGGAGACCUUGGUGCAUGGAUCAAAAUCAGGAAUCUGUUAUUAGGAAAGAAGGGAUGGAAUAAAUUUCUGGAUCAACAAUGAACAAGGCUUGCCACAAGUGGUUUGUAUUCAACAAUAAAGCCCAUUGUUUGCUAGCACUCACUCCGGACAGCCAUUGCUCUUUCACACUAUGUGCCAUUGAUUUUAUGUGACAUCCAAAAAUGUUGUUUGAUCAAGUAAUUUUGCCAGGAGCUUGCUCUGCUUUUCCUCAGUAGCCUACGACUCAGUUUACAAGUCAUGGCUUGAAUUGUGUUCAUUUUCACUGUAAGGUAGACAACUUUAAUGAUGCCUCUCUGGGUUUGAUCUUUUCUCUGUCUUUAGUGACAAAAUGUAUCCUGACUACACUGGACAUUUACCCAUGUUACGGAGACUUGAUUGGUUUUCUAUCUAGCUUACAGGAUCUGAUGUGAAGAGGAUGCAAAAAGUCUCAGUGGGCUUCCUGCCACUAUUUGACAAAGUUUCAUAAGAGAUGAUGCCUCUGGGACUAAAGGAGAUGAUUACCAACUAACAAAAUUCCAUUUUCAGGUAUUUGUUACCAUAUCUGAGUCACACUUUUUCUUUUUUUUCUGUUUGUAUAAAAUUAUCCCAUCCUACACACUCAUUUGCCCUGGUAUAUGUGGUCAUAAUUUAUACUGCAGUAUUUUUGUUGCUAUUUUCUAUACUAUUUUUAUGCUUUAGUGAACCUCCUUUAAACUACUGAUCCAUUUUUAUGAUUUGGUGAUAUACUAUCAUAUAAUAGUGACAAUAAAAUGGAAA